rnacentral:rRNA from 1 species
AUGGUCUCUCUGAUAUUCAUCCGGUGCCUCGCAAUAACUCAAUCAAAAACUCGAUAUCUCGAUCCGGUGGCAUGCCUGGUAACUCUUCCGGAAAUACAUCAGGAUAAUCCUUCACCACUGGUACUUCCUCCUGAACAACUCCUGAUAAGGAAUUCACCUGAGUCCUCCUCGGCGCAUGCCUAG